AAGGGAAUUAAUACAUAAUUACAUUAUAAAAAGGUGAGGUUCCUUUUAAUUUUUAUAUGAAUACCUCAAUGACCAAAUCUUGGAUUCCUUUUAUUUUUUUUUUUUUUGGUGUUUCUUGGGGUGGGGUAGGGCAGGCAGAGGAAUAAAAGAUAAAAGUAUACCUAGUGGGGGAAAACGAUUUCCAUCAUAUGAAACAUUUCAAGGUUUCUACAUCCCUUUUAGAUAUGAACCAGUGUGAAAAAAUUUUGGAUUUUCAGGAUCUGAAAUACAAUUUGGAAAAUGCUCUCAAGCUUGAAAUAGCUAAUUUAAGAAACUUUAAUGGCUUUUUUAAUUUUGACUCUGCUUUAAUAUGAAGUAUAUUUCAGCUUUUUAUUUUACUCUAUUAAAUCCUAGGAACUGGUCUGUAUCGAAAGAGAUAUAAGCACGCAUUUGAAGAAGUGCUUAAUAGUUUUUCAUAGGACACAUCUGGCUUUCUCAGUAGCAGCUUGUGCUAUCACAUUCUGGUUAAGCUGACACAGAGAAACAUAAAGAUACCUCUCAUAAGAGCAAGAAGUUCUUCUGGUGCUCCUGAAAUAUCUCAUCCUGGCUACAAUUUUUAGAGGAGCCGUACAACAACUGACGCCUCUGCUUCACCUCAUCAGACAGGACUCCUCAUCUCCCACGAAGCAGCCUGUAAAAGCCUGUGAGUAUUAUGGGCCAGGAUGCAGAUGCUGCUCUUUCAUGGAAAGAUUUAUGCUGGCAGAACUCACUUGGAUACCUUUGAAGAAAAGCAGCUGGAAAAACAAGGCGUCUAGAUUUUUGCUGCUCCAUGGAGCAGUCAGGCUGUGAAUCCUCUGCAGUGCUCUGGGGUUAAGGAAGAUGGUGUGAAAAAGAAGCCACAGAAAGAACACCAGUGCAACUAGCAGGAGGAAAUAUUGUUUUGGGAACACAAGAACUAAUUGCUGUAUGUUGUGGCUGUGUGGAAAAUUAGAUCACCCUAAUUUUUCAUACUAUUUUAAGACCAGGUAACUAAUCACAAACCAGUAGUGUAAUAAGGUCAGAGAGUUUUUGUGGGGCUGUUAGACAAGUCAUAGACACCUGUACAAGUGGGAGAGCUCCCAAGAUAUGUGAGCUCAGUAAGGAGGAGCUCAGCAAGGUUUUUGCUCUAUAUCCUACCAUAUCAACACUUCAUUUUGUGCAUUUUCUGAUUAAUCAUUAAAUCUCAUCCAGCUGACUUCCAAAGCCAACUGGGUCAGGUAAUCCUUAGACACAGAGCCUCUCCCUGUCCCUCUCCAAUAGAAAUUCUCCAGGAAACAUCUGAUGUAAGUCAUGCCAAGGUGCCACCAGGCUGAAUUUCUUGCUAGAAUUUUAGUAUUUCUCAGGAUUUGACUUGUUCCUUAUAAUGACAAUUAUGCAAAACCUCUGCUCUAUCUUUUCUCCUUGCCAUGUAGAAGUUUGAACACUACUGUAUCUUACUGGAUUUUUUUUCCCUUUUCUUUUAUUCUAUUUUAAUGCUGUUUUGACAGCCAGUCAAUUUUUUACCUUCCUUUGAAGAAACUACUCAAAAGGGCAGGAGCACAUGAGCUAACUUCAGGGUUGGUAAAGGAGAGGUAUUUUUAGAGUAAAGGGAACACAAAAAAGAACUGUUUUAUUUACUGUAAAAAACUGUGGAGGUCCUUAGCUUUGAGGCAGGCUGAUGGCAUGUCUGCCACACUCAUGACAGACACUUCAAAGUGCAGAGACAACCUACAGCACUUCAAGGAAUUUCCUGCUCUGCAAAUAAUGCUGCAGAAGAAACACUCAAGUAAAAGCAUCACAGCAUUGCAGAAAAUCCAGGUGAGAUGUUUAACAAACCUUCCAGUUUUAUGAAGUAGGGGAAUUCCAUUUGGAGUGUGGACUAUUGGCUUUAACACAAUCAUUCAUUGGGAUAAGAGAAGUAGAACUUGCUCUGUAGGUUUGUAAUUGCUGAAAUUAAUAAGUGUGGCUCAUCACUCUCUGCAGUACUUUACCAAUUUACUGUGCUCUUUUAUCUCAAUUACUUUAUGUGUGUGUCUUACAUUCCUCUAUUAAACUUCAGUCAUUGUAACACUGUGGUAAUAACAUUGACAUACUGAGUAUUAUAUGAUGGGCUAUUUUACAUUACUCUGACUGCCUUAUUUACAUUAUAAUUAUUAGUGUCUAUAUAAAUGUGAUUCAUUGAACUAAUAAAGUUUUCAGACAACUGC